GAUGAACGCUAGCGGCAGGCUUAACACAUGCAAGUCGAGGGGCAGCGCGGGAUAGCAAUAUCCUGGCGGCGACCGGCGGAAGGGUGCGUAACGCGUGAGCGACAUGCCCGUUGCCCGGGGACAACCGGUGGAAACGCCGACUAAUCCCCGAUGGGAUAUUGUGCCGCAUGGCACGAUAUUGAAAGUUACGGCGGCGACGGAUUGGCUCGCGUCCGAUUAGCUUGUUGGCGGGGUAACGGCUCACCAAGGCUGCGAUCGGUAGGGGUUCUGAGAGGAAGGCCCCCCACAAUGGGACUGAGACACGGCCCAUACUCCUACGGGAGGCAGCAGUGAGGAAUAUUGGUCAAUGGGCGGAAGCCUGAACCAGCCAUGCCGCGUGCGGGAAGGAGGCCCUAUGGGCUGUGAACCGCUUUUGCCUGGGGGCAAUAAGGGCGUCGCGCACGUCCGAUGAGAGUACCAGGCGAAUAAGCAUCGGCUAACUCCGUG
rnacentral:rRNA from 1 species